GUUUGAACCAUGGUUUUAAAUAAAUGCCCUUACAUUAUGUAAGAGCCGUUAUUUAUAGGUUUUUUGCACUCUUGUUAUUGUGACACCUAUUAUUUAAAGACAUAAAAAAAAUUAUUCCUAUAAUAGCCGUUAUGCUCGCUACUUAAUGGUACAACUAUUAUAUUCCAUAAUUAACGGUAACAAUAUGUUACCUCAUUUAUUGUUUUAAACCAGA
rnacentral:misc_RNA from 1 species